rnacentral:rRNA from 1 species
CCUACGGGUGGCAGCAGUGAGGAAUAUUGGUCAAUGGUCGGGAGCCUGAACCAGCCAAGCCGCGUGAGGGAUGACGGUCCAGAGUAUCGUAAACCUCUUUUGUCAGGGAGCAACGGCGGGGACGUGUCCCCUCCUGAGUGUCCCUGACGAAAAACCAUCGGCUAACUCCGUGCCAGCAGCCGCGGUAAUCCGGAGGUUGCGGGCGUUAUCCGGUUUUAUUGGUUUUAAAGGGUGCGCAGGCGGUCUUUUAAGUCAGUGGUAAAAGCCCGGGGCUCAACCCCGGCCCGCCGUUGAAACUGGUAGUCUUGAGUGGGAGAGAAGUAUGCGGAAUGCGUGGUGUAGCGGUGAAAUGCAUAGAUAUCGCGCAGAACUCCGAUUGCGAAGGCAGCAUGCCGGCGCCAAACUGACGCUGAGGCACGAAAGCGUGGGUAUCGAACAGGAUUAGAUACCCUAGUAGUC